rnacentral:lncRNA from 1 species
AUUAACCAGAUUAUCACCAGGGUUAGGACCUAAUCCGGUCAGAAAGUUCAUCGGUAAUGAAACAUCAGUUUGAAACCUUCGAGGCCCAAUUGAAAUAGAGGAUCUGCAUGGAGGUACCUCAGUCUGAACCUGCGCAUACAGAGGCGUAAAUCCUGGAGGAUAGGAUGGUUUAUCCUUGUCUUCUUCUUCAGCAUUUAUCAUAGGGUCUUUCCCUUUAUUUAUUCCUUUUAGUAAUUGUGUCAGCUCAGUCAUCAUGUCC